AACGUAGGGGACAAGCGUUAUCCGGAUUUACUGGGCGUAAAGCGCCCGUAGGCGGCUUGAUAAGUUGGACGUGAAAGCUCCCGGCUUAACUGGGAGAGGCCGUUCAAAACUGCCAAGCUAGAGUGAGGAAGAGGAGAGCAGAAUUCCCGGUGUAGUGGUGGAAUGCGUAGAGAUCGGGAGGAAUGCCAGUGGCGAAAGCGGCUCUCUGGUCCUAAACUGACGCUGAGGGGCGAAAGCGUGGGGAGCGAACGGG
rnacentral:rRNA from 1 species